rnacentral:rRNA from 1 species
UACAGAGGUCUCAAGCGUUGUUCGGAUUCAUUGGGCGUAAAGGGUGCGUAGGCGGCGCGGUAAGUCGGGGUGUGAAAUCUCGGAGCUUAACUCCGAAAACUGCAUUCGAUACUGCCGUGCUUGAGGACUGGAGAGGAGACUGGAAUUCACGGUGUAGCAGUGAAAUGCGUAGAUAUCGUGAGGAAGACCAGUGGCGAAGGCGGAUCUCUGGACAGUUCCUGACGCUGAGGCGCGAAGGCCAGGGGAGCAAACGGG